rnacentral:lncRNA from 1 species
CCAGAAUGUGACCACUGGGAAUCUUCCCAGUAAAAUAUUAACCAACUCUGUCCUUAUUGAAUCAAAACAAUGAAUAACAAAAGAGGACUUUGACUCCAAUCUGAAGCCAUAAAACAAACUGGAUGAGGCAUGAUAAUUCAACAGGAAAGAGAUUACUGACCCUUCAUAGACUGGCAGCUCUUUAAAUUAAGAUGACUCCUAAGAGAAAAGAACUCCAUCCCAUUGCCUUCCUGAGAUGCUGGACCACUGUGGGCAGCUGCCCUUGGAAGAAGCAUGCCACUGUCUCCUUCAAACCCCUCAAAGUCUCAGCUUCUCUCAUACUUUUGGAAAUUCUCAAGAUUGAAUAGAGUGAGGUUCUUCUUCAGUAUCAUUAGUUCUUUCUACACCACAGAAGAAAUUCUAAUCUGAACAUAAACAUAUUUUGGAUUAAUAAAUUCUUCUAAAAGUAUCUGUAUUAUCUGUUUUCAUGCUGCUGAUAAAGACAUACCCGAGACUGGGAAGAAAAAGAGGUUUAAUUGGACUUACAGUUCCACAUGGCUGGGGAGGCCUCAGAAUCAUGGCAGAGGGUGAAAGGCAUUUCUUACAUGGCAGCAGCAAGAGAAAAUAAGGAUGCAGAAGUGGAAAGCCCUGAUAAAACCAUCAGAUCACGUGAG